rnacentral:rRNA from 1 species
GACGGAGGGUGCAAGCGUUGCUCGGAAUCACUGGGCGUAAAGGGUGCGUAGGCGGUCUCGCAAGUCUGGCGUGAAAGCCCAAGGCUCAGCCUUGGAAGUGCGCUCGAAACGGCGAGGCUGGAGUGCCGGAGGGGAGAGUGGAAUUCCCGGUGUAGCGGUGAAAUGCGUAGAGAUCGGGAGGAACACCGGUGGCGAAGGCGAGGCGCUGGACCCUUUCUGACGCUGAAGCGCGAAAGCCAGGGGAGCAAACGGG